rnacentral:lncRNA from 1 species
UGAUGACAUCCUCUAUUGGCCUCUGAGGACACCUGCAGGAACAAAUCAAAAGGAAAAGCCCGGUUCCUGGGAGUCCGUCCAUUUACGAUGAGUGUGUGAGCGAAUCCGGCCAGGACUUGGACUCAAGGAGACUGACUUCACUCUCCUUGGCUACCCUUGUUCCUGACUACUUAACUAUGGAAUGCUUGAGACACAUACAUGAAGAUCCAGAAGAGGGAGAGAAAACAUGGCUCACUUGACUGAUCCAUUCUAUCCGAGGGCUCCAGUGUCCCCGAGCUCUGCUCGAGUGUGCUCAGUGUUUCACACUCCGCUCUUCACUGGGUCCUUACAGACCCCUAACCCGUAGCCGCAGUGCUCAGUCAAGCUGUGAGACAUGCAGGACAGCAGUGUUUUGAUCCAGCACACACUGGGUCUGUCACUUCAUCCAGGACAGUCACACAUGCCAGCCCUAAGCAAGUCCCCGGGGGCCAGCAGCUGUUUGCUUUGUGGAGUGGAAGUCUGGGCUUUUUCCCCUCCCUGGAUUUCUCCUUGCUGCCGUGCUGUCAAGCUCUCCGCUGUUCCCCCUGGGCCCCAGACAGCUGCUUGGCGUAUGUGUGUGUGUAAUUUAUUGUUCUGCUGCCGCUGGCUUGUCCCCGGCCUCGGGCUUCUCAGCCUGCGACUCCGGAGGGAUGAGGAACUGGACCUCCUCUGUGCUGAUGGCGACUUUAUCUGGCUGGAGCCACCUUUUGAAAUGUUCCAAGGUGCUACAAAAGAGCAGAAGAAGGAAUGGCUGGGUCAGAUCUCUCUGAUUAACUGCUUAGCGAUUGGCUCAGUUAUUCAAGUCCUGCCCCCCUGCCCACCACUGAUCUCUUCCCACCUCUGCUUUUCUCUGCUGACACGGGGAGAGCCUUGCUACUGAUACUCUGACAGCUGCAUAUCCUGGCAGCCCAACAGCAUCAUUU